rnacentral:rRNA from 1 species
AGCAGCCGCGGUAAUUCCAGCUCCAAUAGCGUAUAUUAAAGUUGUUGCAGUUAAAAAGCUCGUAGUUGAAUUUCGGGGUCAGUAGGUUGGUCGUGCCACUAGUAUGUACUGGUCUCACUGAUUCCUCCUUCCUGAUGAACCGUAAUGCCAUUAAUUUGGUGUUGCGGGGAAUCUGGACUGUUACUUUGAAAAAAUUAGAGUGUUUAAAGCAGGCUAACGCUUGAAUACAUUAGCAUGGAAUAAUGAAAUAGGACGAUCGAUCCUAUUUUGUUGGUUUCUAGGAUUGACGUAAUGAUUAAUAGGGAUAGUUGGGGGCAUUAGUAUUCAAUUGUCAGAGGUGAAAUUCUUGGAUUUAUUGAAGACUAACUACUGCGAAAGCAUUUGCCAAGGAUGUUUUCAUUAAUCAAGAACGAAAGUUAGGGGAUCGAAGGCGAUCAGAUACCGUCGUAGUCUUAACCAUAAACUAUGCCGACUAGGGAUCGGAUGAUGUUAAUUUUUUAAUGACUCAUUCGGCGUCCG